rnacentral:lncRNA from 1 species
UGGGUUCUGGUCUUUGGUGUUGUGGGGAGGGCGUCGGGGAUGCAGUGAGGGGCUGGGUUCUGGUCUUUGGUGUUGUGGGGAGGGGCGUCGGGGAUGCAGUGAGGUGCUGGGUUCUGGUCUUUGGUGACGUGGGGAGGGCGUCGGGGAUGCAGUGAGAGGGUGGGUUCUGGUCUUUGGUGUUGUGGGGAGGGCGUCGGGGAUGCAGUGAGGGGCUGGGUUCUGGUCUUUGGUGACGUGGGGAGGGCGUCGGGGAUGCAGUGAGAGGGUGGGUUCUGGUCUUUGGUGUUGUGGGGAGGGCGUCGGGGAUUCACUGAGGGGCUGAGUUCUGGUCUUUGCCACGCGGGCAUGUGU